UGCAGUCGAACGCGAAAGUUUCUUCGGAAACGAGUAGAGUGGCGCACGGGUGAGUAACGCGUGGAUUAUCUACCUGCUGGUACGGGACAACAGUUGGAAACGACUGCUAAUACCGUAUACGCUGGAAACGGGAAAGGGGGCCUCUUCUUGAAAGCUCUCGCCAGUAGAUGAGUCCGCGUCUCAUUAGCUAGACGGUGGGGUAACGGCCUACCGUGGCAACGAUGAGUAGCAGGCCUGAGAGGGUGGCCUGCCACACUGGGACUGGAACACGGCCCAGACUCCUACGGGAGGCAGCAGUGGGGAAUAUUGCGCAAUGGACGAAAGUCUGACGCAGCGACGCCGCGUGGAGGAUGAAGGUUUUCGGAUCGUAAACUCCUGUCAAGAGGGAAGAAACCUGUUAUGAAUAAUACUUAUAGCAAUUGACGGUACCUCUAGAGGAAGCACCGGCUAAUUCAGUGCCAGCAGCCGCGGUAAUACUGAAGGUGCAAGCGUUAAUCGGAAUCACUGGGCGUAAAGCGCUCGUAGGUGGCUUUGUAAGUCAGGUGUGAAAGCCCACGGCUCAACCGUGGAAUUGCACUUGAUACUGCAUCGCUAGAGUAUAGGAGAGGGAAGUGGAAUUUCUGGUGUAGGAGUGAAAUCCGUAGAGAUCAGAAGGAACACCCGUGGCGAAGGCGACUUCCUGGACUAUUACUGACACUGAGGAGCGAAAGCGUGGGGAGCAAACAGGAUUAGAUACCCUGGUAGUCCACGCCGUAAACGAUGGGUACUAGGUGUCGGAGGCUUGACCUUCGGUGCCGUAGUUAACGCGUUAAGUACCCCGCCUGGGGAGUACGGUCGCAAGGCUGAAACUCAAAGA
rnacentral:rRNA from 1 species